AUCUAGAUGUGUACAGACAAAUCCUUCCAUUGUGAAAUCCGCACUUUUAUGAAGUCUGAUUUUAUUAUUAUGCGCCUCCAUUACUAACUAUAUUGAACUAGCGUCUCUGAAACUCACGACCAUUGCUUCACAGGUCACAUAUAUGCGACUGAUCGACUAAGCAAUCGGUUCCAAAUUUUGAACAUGAUUGUACAUGUAUGUUUCCUUUUAAAAAGGAUUUACUCUUAAGCGUGAUAGAGAAAAACAACAAACGCCUGGAAAGUCUGAACGAUUUUCAGAUUUCCAAACAAAUUGAGUGGAGAAUGGAUUAUUUCGGGGGUAUUUUGAAGGAGGACAAAGUAUCUCUCCUACCAUUGAUGUGUACUUUGUAGAACAGAAUGAUAGAGCUCUAUGUAUCGACAUUUCUAGUCGUGGACUUCCAAUCUGUCAAGAAACUGCCAUGUAAAGACGUUUGCUUUAGCCACUCAAUGCUGUGUUCAGUCUUUACUUCAUUUAAUGCUUUUCAGAAUUUUGUAAACCUAAAAGUUUUUGUUCUAUACAUUUGCUUAUUAUUCAUAAAGUAUACAAGAUUUUAUAAAUCUUGAAUGUGAGGAUAUUU